rfam:Asian citrus Psyllid, Diaphorina citri - Florida Strain, whole genome shotgun sequence.
GCUCCCAUGGCAUAGUGGUCACUGCACUUGCCUUGCAUGCGGGAGACCCAGGUUCGAUUCCCGGCUGGGUCA